AGCGAACGCUGGCGGCAGGCCUAACACAUGCAAGUCGAGCGCCCCGCAAGGGGAGCGGCAGACGGGAGAGUAACACGUGGGAACGUACCCUUUGGUUCGGAACAACCCAGGGAAACUUGGGCUAAUACCGGAUAAGCCCUUACGGGGAAAGAUUCAUCGCCGAAGGAUCGGCCCGCGUCUGAUUAGCUAGUUGGUGGGGUAACGGCCCACCAAGGCGACGAUCAGUAGCUGGUCUGAGAGGAUGAUCAGCCUCACUGGGACUGAGACACGGCCCAGACUCCUACGGGAGGCUGCAGUGGGGAAUAUUGGACAAUGGGCGCAAGCCUGAUCCAGCCAUGCCGCGUGGGUGAUGAAGGCCCUAGGGUUGUAAAGCCCUUUCGGCGGGGAAGAUAAUGACGGUACCCGCAGAAGAAGCCCCGGCUAACUUCGUGCCAGCAGCCGCGGUAA
rnacentral:rRNA from 1 species